GGCCUCCAUCUUGAAAACGGAAAAUAAAAACAGCAGACCUAUGAAGGUCGAAGGGGAAGAAAAGCUGUAUCGAUUGUUGAGAUCUGGCGACUUGUUUAAAUUUCAUCAGCCUCACUUCUAUGAACUCUCAGGCCUCAUGUGUACCAGCUCUCUGCUCUCCUUUGCCUUGGGACGUUCCAUCCCUGGAAGUUUCCCUGCCCACAUCUUUGUAGAGAGUCCAUUCUCCAAGCUUCAGUGUGUCAUCUGUGAGGACUGUGACCAACCUGGUACAUCGCCUCAGGGCAUUCAUUUCAGGCUCCUUCUAAAUGGUCAAGGAUCUUGGAAGCAGAGGGAUCUGCAGAAGUGCUUGCAACACUUUCAGCCUCAACCAGCAUCAGAGACAAAAAUCCUUUCUGGAAUGAGGUAAACCUCAGGUUCUCCUCCUGCCUUUUGCUAAGUAUAUGUCUUGAUGACAAGCCUUCUGCUGAUGAGCUGUGUUUCUGGACCGAUCAUGGUAGAAGUCAAUUAACGUGUCCCUCACUUGGGGUUUCUCAAGG
rnacentral:lncRNA from 1 species